AAGAUACAUAAUAAAUAUUAUAGCUGAAUAACGAAAAAUACAUAUGAAUAAACUAUUUGAGUAGAACUAUAUACAAUUGAAUACAACAAAAUACAACUUAAUUCAUCUGAAUAAAAUACUUGUAUACAACAAAAAUACGACUGAAUACAGCUGAAUAAAACCUUGAAUGCAACAAAAUACAACUAACUUCUGCUGAAUAAAAUAGUUGAAUAUAACUAACUACAAUUGAGUACAGUUGUAUGAAACACUUGAAUACAACUAACUACUGCGGAAUAAAAUAGUUAAAUAUAAUUGAUUAAACCUGAAUACAAGUGAAUACAGCUAAAAUACUUAUUCGAAUACAACUGAAUACAAAUAGACUAUUUGGGCGAUCUAAAAAGAGUAACAGCCCUCUGGCUUCGCCGGUCGUCGGCGAGCCAUUAAUUCCGGAUGGACAGCCCCUAACACUCUUACUCUUUUGAAAAAAGUGAUGAUGACAGUGGGGUCUGAGAGAUCGAAGCGACUGCAUAAUUUCACCUUUGGACUGAAGUGGGUAAAGCAGAAAGUCAUGAGAUUCAUUAAGAAGAAUCCCAAUGGUGAAUAUCCGCUAUACAUAGGUGAAGGGAGCCCGAUCCAUCGGAAAGUAGCUGCAUAACAGAUGAUCGGCUAGAAAAAUGAGUCAAGCCAUCGGCGGCAGCGGCAGAGAACGGCGGGGAUGAUAUCACGGCUUUAAGGGAGAAGCUGAUGUUUGAUCUUCAGGCAGAGGCUGAUAUGCGGUAAUUAUGUGAGAGAAAAUACAAAAAAAGGGAGAGAGAAAAAUUAUGUUUAGCAUAUAUAAUGCCUUAAUUGUAAGAUGUAAUUAUAUUUAGAUUUUUUGCUAUAAAUGAUAAAAAGAUAUUUAUAAGAUUAA
rnacentral:lncRNA from 1 species